rnacentral:lncRNA from 9 species
CUCGGAUUGUGCAGCCUCCUGCUAGGGCAGGCGGAGGCCCCGAGCCCGGUGGAACCGCCGGAACGGAGCAGGCCGUAUGCAGUGCUACGUGGGCAGAACCUGGUGUUGAUGGGAACCAUUUUCAGCAUCCUGCUGGUGACCAUGAUCCUUAUGGCAUUUUGCGUCUACAAGCCCAUUCGGCGUCGGUGACAGUGAGAAACCAAGUCCUUCCACAAGUAUUUGGUAAAGAAUAAGUUGCAUUGUGCAUGGAUCAGUGGAGAAGCUGGAAUCAGAAGUUUACUGCUUGGAAAUGAUUUUUGUCUGGACACUUGGUAAAUGCUGAAUGAUUUAGAAAAAACAUCUAGCUGUUUUCUUUCUAACACUGUAAUGCAAGUAUUUGGCCACUGAGUCUGCUUCUCAGUGUUUCUUUUUCUAUAUGGCUCUGCUUGUUAAAAGUAAGACCUGAAGCUCCAAGGUUCAGUGUAAAGAUGGCAUGCUCUCGAGAGAGACAACUUUGUGAGUGAUGUAAAAACCACACUGGAAAGGACUGAUCGUUAAUGUUUGAAAAUACGAAGGAGAGGACGACUUAACUUGUCGACCUGCCCAACUUAAGACCCAUUCAACCACAGUGGUUUAAGAAUCACAAAUGUUUUUAAUUGUCCUGAGUUGCGUGGGCCUAGAAUGCCGUUUGCAAAGCAAUGUCAUUUGUGGGGAAUGUAGGCUGCCACUCCUCACGCUGCAGGGAGCUCUGCAUUCAGAUGACUCCACUGAAGUCAAGGUCACACCAGGUAGGCCUAGGACCACGGGCAGUCUUGGGCUGCAAGGUUCUGGGGUUGGACUGGAAGUGUUAGCAGUUGGUCUAUCUGAAAAAGAACUGAUCCUGCACUUAAGUCUUUCCAGCCCAUGCCCUAGACGUCCUGGCAGCCUUUCUGAUUUGGAGUCCAUAAGAGGCUCAGCAGGAGUUCUUUUCAGCCCUGGGUGGGGAGAAUGCAACAGAAGUACCAAGUGCGUGUUCACUGUACGAGGCAGAGUGGCAGGCUGAGUGUGUGUUUACACAAAUUUAAUUUCAACUUUGAAAAUGCUGCUAUUUGUUUGUACUGUUGGUGAACUGGAUAUCUCCCUGCUCCCCACAGAACUGGUAUUUUUGUACUUAACAGUAUUUAUUUUAAAGCUGCUGGGUUUAACUGUGUUGUUAAAUUAAAAUGCGCCGUAUCUUGUUUGUGCUCCAUUCAAGCACAGCACUGUUUUUUGUUUGUUAUUUUUAACAACCUGCACUUAAUGUGAAAUAACUUAUGCGGGAUGCUGUAACUGUUUGACUGAAGGAUUUUGUUUGUAACCCUAACACUGAGCCACUGAAAUAUUGUUUUGUGCUUUUGAGCAAAAUGUGAAUUAAAACUAAAGUAAAAUCUUAUAUGCUGUUUUAUUCCAAGUAAUUAUUUUCUAGGUAUUUAACAUGUAGGUGGGAGUUCCCAUUGUGGCACAGUGGAAACAAAUCCGACUAGGAACCGUGAGGUUGCAAAGUUGAUCCCUGGCCUCACUCAGUGGGUUAAGGAUCCGGCACCGUGAGCUGUGUAGGUUACAGACAAGGCUUAGAUCUGGCAUUGCCGUGGCUGUGUCUAGGCUGGCAGCUGCAGCUCCGAUUUGACCCCUAGCCUGGGAACUUACAUAUGCCAUGGGUGCUGCCCUAAAAUGCAUGCAUGCAUGCAUGAAUGAAUAAAUAAAUAAAAUGCAGGUUGUGUGUGUGUGAAUCUGAUUUAAUCUCUUAAAGAAGUACCACAAAGUGGAAUUUUAAAUUAACAUGUGAAAAUAUACUAUUGCCCCAAGGCAAGCUAUUGAUUAUUUCAAAAACUGAGCCUUAAGUAAUCUAUUAAGCUGGGCAAGGGGCCAGAAGACCUGGAUUCUUGUCCCAGCUCCAGUUGCAAACAGGCUUAACUUCUCUAGAGCAUGUUUUCUCAUCUGUAAAAUGGUGAUAUACACAGUAUCUUUCUUUAUGGUGAGGAUCAGAUGUGAAAACCAACACAAAUGGAGGUAGGCUCACCACAGCUGGCCUGUGUUUUGAAGCCCAUGGCUUUUGACUGGAGGAGGAAUUCUGAGACUCUAGCCGGAACAGAGUUAAGUCCCAGGAACCCACAUCACCUCCUCACCUGGGUGCCACAUUUUGAUGUGCUGCCUAAAAACAUAUUGCCAUUUUUAGGAGUUCCUGUUACGGC